rnacentral:rRNA from 1 species
AACGUAGGAGGCGAGCGUUAUCCGGAUUUACUGGGUGUAAAGCGCAUGCAGGCGGUUGGCUAAGUUGGAUGUGAAAGCUCCUGGCUUAACUGGGAGAGGUCGUUCAAAACUAGCCGACUAGAGGAUGGUAAGGGAAAGCGGAAUUCCGGGUGUAGUGGUGAAAUGCGUAGAUAUCCGGAGGAACACCAGUGGCGAAGGCGGCUUUCUGGACCAUGACUGACGCUCAGAUGCGAAAGCUAGGGUAGCAAACGGG